rnacentral:rRNA from 1 species
GGGAUUGCCCUAGUAACGGCGAGUGAAGCGGCAAUAGCUCAAAUUUGAAAUCUGGCCCUCGUGGUCCGAAUUGUAAUUUGUAGAGGAUGCUUUUGGUGCGGUGCCUUCUGAGUUCCCUGGAACGGGACGCCAGAGAGGGUGAGAGCCCCGUACGGUUGGACACCUAUCCUAUAUAUAGCUCCUUCGACGAGUCGAGUAGUUUGGGAAUGCUGCUCUAAAUGGGAGGUAAAUUUCUUCUAAAGCUAAAUACCGGCCAGAGACCGAUAGCGCACAAGUAGAGUGAUCGAAAGAUGAAAAGCACUUUGAAAAGAGGGUUAAAUAGCACGUGAAAUUGUUGAAAGGGAAGCGUUUGCGACCAGACCUUUCCCAGGGGGAUCAUCCGGUGUUCUCACCGGUGCACUUCCCCUGGUUUAGGCCAGCAUCGGUUUCCUUAGGGGGAUAAAGGCUUGGGGAACGUAGCUCUUUCGGGAGUGUUAUAGCCCCUCGCGUAAUACCCCUCGGGGGACCGAGGACCGCGCUCUGCAAGGAUGCUGGCGUAAUGGUCGUCAACGACCCGUCUUGAAACACGGACCAAGGAGUCGAACAUUUGUGCGAGUGUUUGGGUGUUAAACCCUCACGCGUAAUGAAAGUGAACGGAGGUGAGAGCCCUCACGGGUGCAUCAUCGACCGAUCCUGAUGUCUUCGGAUGGAUUUGAGUAAGAGCAUAACUGUUCGGACCCGAAAGAUGGUGAACUAUGCGUGGAUAGGGUGAAGCCAGAGGAAACUCUGGUGGAGGCUCGCAGCGGUUCUGACGUGCAAAUCGAUCGUCAAAUCUGCGCAUGGGGGCGAAAGACUUAUCGAACCAUUAAAACCAGCGGUAAAUUUUAAUUUACUAGGUGGUUAAGAGGCUCCCCGGGAGGGGGGCCUAGGUCCAUGUGCCAGCUUACCCUAUA